GAUGAACGCUGGCGGCGUGCCUAAUACAUGCCAGUCGAGCGAACGGACGAGAAGCUUGCUUUUCUGAUGUUAGCGGCGGACGGGUGAGUAACACGUGGAUAACCUACCUAUAAGACUGGGAUAACUUCGGGAAACCGGAGCUAAUACCGGAUAAUAUUUUGAACCGCAUGGUUCAAUAGUGAAAGACGGUUUUGCUGUCACUUAUAGAUGGAUCCGCGCUGCAUUAGCUAGUUGGUAAGGUAACGGCUUACCAAGGCAACGAUGCAUAGCCGACCUGAGAGGGUGAUCGGCCACACUGGAACUGAGACACGGUCCAGACUCCUACGGGAGGCAGCAGUAGGGAAUCUUCCGCAAUGGGCGAAAGCCUGACGGAGCAACGCCGCGUGAGUGAUGAAGGUCUUCGGAUCGUAAAACUCUGUUAUUAGGGAAGAACAUAUGUGUAAGUAACUGUGCACAUCUUGACGGUACCUAAUCAGAAAGCCACGGCUAACUACGUG
rnacentral:rRNA from 1 species